rnacentral:rRNA from 1 species
UACAGAGGUCUCAAGCGUUUGUUCGGAUUCAUUGGGCGUAAAGGGUGCGUAGGUGGCGAAGUAAGUCGGGUGUGAAAUCUCGGGGCUCAACCCCGAAACUGCAUUCGAUACUGCUUUGCUCGAGGACUGGAGAGGAGAUUGGAAUUCAUGGUGUAGCAGUGAAAUGCGUAGAUAUCAUGAGGAAGACCAGUGGCGAAGGCGGAUCUCUGGACAGUUCCUGACACUGAGGCAACGGAAGGCCAGGGGAGCAAACGGG